GAUGAACGCUGGCGGCGUGCCUAAUACAUGCAAGUCGAGCGAACAGACGAGGAGCUUGCUCCUCUGACGUUAGCGGCGGACGGGUGAGUAACACGUGGAUAACCUACCUAUAAGACUGGGAUAACUUCGGGAAACCGGAGCUAAUACCGGAUAAUAUAUUGAACCGCAUGGUUCGAUAGUGAAAGACGGUUUUGCUGUCACUUAUAGAUGGAUCCGCGCCGCAUUAGCUAGUUGGUAAGGUAACAGCUUACCAAGGCAACGAUGCGUAGCCGACCUGAGAGGGUGAUCGGCCACACUGGAACUGAGACACGGUCCAGACUCCUACGGGAGGCAGCAGUAGGGAAUCUUCCGCAAUGGGCGAAAGCCUGACGGAGCAACGCCGCGUGAGUGAUGAAGGUCUUCGGAUCGUAAAACUCUGUUAUUAGGGAAGAACAAAUGUGUAAGUAACUAUGCACGUCUUGACGGUACCUAAUCAGAAAGCCACGGCUAACUACGUG
rnacentral:rRNA from 1 species